GUCCAAGGUGAUUCCCUCUCCAAGCACCAACUAAUGCCCUUCUCAGGAAUGUAGCAACUUGGAAGAAAACUUGGCAUGCCUUAAGUCUUUGGAAAGCAAGUGAUGCAUAUUUCCUUUGCCUCACUUUGGCUGCCUACAUUC
rnacentral:snoRNA from 1 species